AGAGUUUGAUCAUGGCUCAGGAUGAACGCUGGCGGCGUGCCUAACACAUGCAAGUCGAGCGAACCCUUUCGGGGUGAGCGGCGGACGGGUGAGUAACGCGUGGGUAACCUGCCCUGUACACACGGAUAACAUACCGAAAGGUAUGCUAAUACGAGAUAAAAUGUAAUGAUCGCAUGGUCGAUACAUCAAAGCUCCGGCGGUACAGGAUGGACCCGCGUCUGAUUAGCUAGUUGGUGAGGUAAUGGCUCACCAAGGCGACGAUGGGUAGCCGGCCUGAGAGGGUGAACGGCCACACUGGAACUGAGACACGGUCCAGACUCCUACGGGAGGCAGCAGUGGGGGAUAUUGCACAAUGGAGGAAACUCUGAUGCAGCGACGCCGCGUGAGCGAAGAAGGUCUUCGGAUCGUAAAGCUCUGUCCUAAGGAAAGAUAGUGACGGUACCUUAGGAGGAAGCCCCGGCUAACUACGUGCCAGCAGCCGCGGUAAUACGUAGGGGGCGAGCGUUAUCCGGAAUUAUUGGGCGUAAAGGGUUCGCAGGCGGCCUUGUAAGUCAGAUGUGAAAGACAGCGGCUUAACCGUUGUAAGCAUUUGAAACUGCAGGGCUUGAGUACAGGAGAGGAAAGCGGAAUUCCUAGUGUAGCGGUGAAAUGCGUAGAUAUUAGGAGGAACACCAGUGGCGAAGGCGGCUUUCUGGACUGAUACUGACGCUGAGGAACGAAAGCGUGGGGAGCAAACAGGAUUAGAUACCCUGGUAGUCCACGCUGUAAACGAUGAAUACUAGGUGUGGGCAUGCAAGGCAUGUCCGUGCCGCAGCUAACGCAUUAAGUAUUCCACCUGGGGAGUACGUUCGCAAGAAUGAAACUUAAAUGAAUUGACGG
rnacentral:rRNA from 1 species